UACGGAGGGUGCAAGCGUUAUCCGGAUUCACUGGGUUUAAAGGGUGUGUAGGCGGGUCUGUAAGGCAGUGGUGAAAUCUCCGAGCUCAACUUGGAAACUGCCAUUGAUACUAUAGAUCUUGAAUUUUGUUGAGGUAGGCGGAAUAUGUCAUGUAGCGGUGAAAUGCAUAGAUAUGACAUAGAACACCGAUUGCGAAGGCAGCUUACUAAGCAAAUAUUGACGCUGAGGCACGAAAGCGUGGGGAGCAAACAGG
rnacentral:rRNA from 1 species